rfam:Ixodes scapularis strain Wikel colony gcontig_1108379739350, whole genome shotgun sequence.
GCAGUCGUGGCCGAGUGGUGAAGGCGAUGGAUUAGAAAUCCAUUGGAAGUUUCCCUGCACAGGUUCAAAUCCUGUUGACUGCA